ACGCUGGCGGCGUGCUUAACACAUGCAAGUCGAACGAAGCACUUAUCUUUGAUUCUUCGGAUGAAGAGAUUUGUGACUGAGUGGCGGACGGGUGAGUAACGCGUGGGUAACCUGCCUCAUACAGGGGGAUAACAGUUAGAAAUGACUGCUAAUACCGCAUAAGACCACAGAGCCGCAUGGCUCGGUGGGAAAAACUCCGGUGGUAUGAGAUGGACCCGCGUCUGAUUAGGUAGUUGGUGGGGUAACGGCCUACCAAGCCAACGAUCAGUAGCCGACCUGAGAGGGUGACCGGCCACAUUGGGACUGAGACACGGCCCAAACUCCUACGGGAGGCAGCAGUGGGGAAUAUUGCACAAUGGGGGAAACCCUGAUGCAGCGACGCCGCGUGAGCGAAGAAGUAUUUCGGUAUGUAAAGCUCUAUCAGCAGGGAAGAAAAUGACGGUACCUGACUAAGAAGCACCGGCUAAAUACGUGCCAGCAGCCGCGGUAAUACGUAUGGCGCAAGCGUUAUCCGGAUUUACUGGGUGUAAAGGGAGCGUAGACGGCUGUGUAAGUCUGAAGUGAAAGCCCGGGGCUCAACCCCGGGACUGCUUUGGAAACUAUGCAGCUAGAGUGUCGGAGAGGUAAGUGGAAUUCCCAGUGUAGCGGUGAAAUGCGUAGAUAUUGGGAGGAACACCAGUGGCGAAGGCGGCUUACUGGA
rnacentral:rRNA from 1 species